rnacentral:rRNA from 1 species
GACGAACGCUGGCGGCGUGCCUAAUACAUGCAAGUUGAGCGCUGAAGGUUGGUACUUGUACCAACUGGAUGAGCAGCGAACGGGUGAGUAACGCGUGGGGAAUCUGCCUUUGAGCGGGGGACAACAUUUGGAAACGAAUGCUAAUACCGCAUAAAAACUUUAAACACAAGUUUUAAGUUUGAAAGAUGCAAUUGCAUCACUCAAAGAUGAUCCCGCGUUGUAUUAGCUAGUUGGUGAGGUAAAGGCUCACCAAGGCGAUGAUACAUAGCCGACCUGAGAGGGUGAUCGGCAAAUUUGGGACUGGAAAACGGCCCAAACCCCUCCGGGAGGCAGCAGUAGGGAAUUUUCGGCAAGGGACGAAAGUCUGACCGAACAACGCCGCGUGAGUGAAGAAGGUUUUCGGAUCGUAAAACUCUGUUGGUGGGGAAGAACGUUGGGGAGGGGGGAAAGCUCAUCAAGUGAAGGUAACCACCCAGAAAGGGACGGCUAACUACGU